UAAAAUCUGGCAAAAUAAUAUAGUCAUUAGCAAUUUUUCAGGACGCUCGGACCCCAAAGACGUCAUCAGUGUGUUUAGUGUGAGUUAACGUAAAAGUUAAUGCUUUGUAUGGAAUUGUAACGUUUGCCUAAGUUUGC